GGCUACACAUGCAGUCGAACGAAGUAGCAUACUUAGUGGCAGACGGGUGAGUACAUGUAGGUAUCUGCCCUUUGGCCUGGAAUAACACGAGGAAACUUGUGCUAAUACCGGAUAAGUCUUUACGGAGAAAGCUUUAUGCACCAUUGGAUGAGCCUGCACUUGAUUAGUUUGUUGGUGGGGUAAUGGCCUACCAAGACUGUGAUCAAUAGCUGAUUUGAGAGGAUGAUCAGCCCCAUUGGGACUGAGACACGGCCCAAACUCCUACGGGAGGCAGCAGUGGGGAAUCUUGCACAAUGGAGGAAACUCUGAUGCAGCGAUGCCGCGUGAGUGAAGAAGGCCCUUGGGUUGUAAAGCUCUUUCGUCGGGGAAGAAAAUGACUGUGCCCGAAUAAGAAGGUCCGGCUAACUUCGUGCCAGCAGCCGCGGUAAUACGAAGGGACCUAGCGUAGUUCGGAAUUACUGGGCUUAAAGAGUUCGUAGGUGGUUGAAAAAGUUGGUGGUGAAAUCCCAGAGCUUAACUCUGGA
rnacentral:rRNA from 1 species